rnacentral:rRNA from 1 species
GAUGAACGCUGGCGGCGUGCCUAAUACAUGCCAGUCGAGCGAACAGACGAGGAGCUUGCUCCUCUGACGUUAGCGGCGGACGGGUGAGUAACACGUGGAUAACCUACCUAUAAGACUGGGAUAAUUUCGGGAAACCGCAGCUAAUACUAGCUAAUAUAUUGAACCGCAUGGAUCAAUCGUCAUAGACGCUUUUGCUGACACUUUUAGCUGGAUCCGCGCCGCAUUAGCUAGUUGGUAAGGUAACGGCUUAACAAGGCAACGAUGCGUAGCUGCCCUGAGAGGGUGAUCGGCCACACUGGAACUGAGACACGGUCCAGACUCCUACGGGAGGCAGCAGUAGGGAAUCUUGCGCAAUGGGCGAAAGCGUGACGGAGCAACGCCGCGUGAGUGAUGAAGGUCUUCGGAUCGUAAAACUCUGUUGUUAGGAAAGAAAAAAAGUGUAAGUAACUAUGCACGUCUUGACGGUACCUAAAGAGAAAGCCACGGCUAACUACGUG